GACGAACGCUGGCGGCGUGCUUAACACAUGCAAGUCGAACGGAAAGGCCCGGCUCUUGCGGGUUGCUCGAGUGGCGAACGGGUGUGUAACACGCGAGUAACCUGCCCUUGACUGUGGGAUAUCUCCAGGAAACUGGGGCUAUUAUCGGAUAGGAGCUCCUGCUGCACGGUGUGGGUUGGUAAGUUUCGGCGGUUGGGGAUGGUCUCGCGGCGUCGUAGCUAGUUGGUAUGGUAGUGGCUUACCAAGGCUACGAAGGGUAGCCGACAUGAGAGGGUGAUCGGCCACACGGGAAGUGAGACACGGGCCAGACUCCUACGGGAGGCAGCAGUAGGGAAUCGGCCGCAAUGGGCGAAAGCCUGACGGAGCAACGCCGCGUGAGUGAUGAAGGUCGUCGGAUCGGAAAACUCGGUUAUUAGGGAAGAACAAAUGUGUAAGUAACUAUGCACGUCUUGACGGUACCUAAUCAGAAAGCCACGGCUAACUACGUG
rnacentral:rRNA from 1 species